rnacentral:rRNA from 1 species
AUUGAACGCUGGCGGCAGGCUUAACACAUGCAAGUCGAGCGGAGCGAGGGUGCUUGCACCUUAGCUUAGCGGCGGACGGGUGAGUAAUGCUUAGGAAUCUGCCUAUUAGUGGGGGACAACAUUCCGAAAGGAAUGCUAAUACCGCAUACGCCCUACGGGGGAAAGCAGGGGAUCUUCGGACCUUGCGCUAAUAGAUGAGCCUAAGUCGGAUUAGCUAGUUGGUGGGGUAAAGGCCUACCAAGGCGACGAUCUGUAGCGGGUCUGAGAGGAUGAUCCGCCACACUGGGACUGGGACACGGCCCAGACUCCUACGGGAGGCAGCAGUGGGGAAUAUUGGACAAUGGGCGGAAGCCUGAUCCAGCCAUGCCGCGUGUGUGAAGAAGGCCUUUUGGUUGUAAAGCACUUUAAGCGAGGAGGAGGCUACUUAGAUUAAUACUCUGGGAUAGUGGACGUUACUCGCAGAAUAAGCACCGGCUAACUCUGUGCCAGCAGCCGCCGCGGUAA